UACGUGGGGCACGAGCGUUAUCCGGAUUUACUGGGCGUAAAGAGAUGCGUAGGUGUUUUAGUAAGUUCUAUGUUAAAUCCAGGCACUCAAUGUCUGAACUGCAUAGGAAACUACUAGAAUUGAGUUAGUUAGAGAUAGAGGGAAUUCCUGGUGGAGCGGUUAAAUGCGUUGAUAUCAGGAGGAACACCAAAGGCGAAGGCACUCUAUUGGAACUAUACUGACACUAAGGCUCGAAAGCGUGGGGAGCAAA
rnacentral:rRNA from 1 species